UGGUCCCAGUAGGGGUGUAUGUGGGAGGCAACCAAUCGAUGUUUCUCACAUCAAUGUUUCUCUCUCCCCCGCUUCCUACCUGCCACUCUCUAAAAGGUAAUGGAAAAAAUAUCCUCUGGUGAGGAUUGACAGCAGCAACAAAAAGUGUACAAUUCAGUGGGUUUUCCUAAAUUCAGAGUUGUGCUACCAUUGCCACAAAUCAGUUUUAAAACAUUUUUAUUACCCUAAGAGGAAACUCUGUGUGCCAUUAGCAGUCACUUCCCUUCCCUACCCUAACUUCUAGCCCUGGGCAACCACUAAUCUAUUUUCUGUCUCUCUAGAUUUUUUUCUUUCUGGGCAUUUCAUAUAAAUACAGUAAAACCUUAAUGUAACGGACUAAUUCAGACGCGGGGUAUCUGUUAAAACUGAAAGUUCGUUAUAUAAUAGAGUAGGUUUUCCGAAUGCAUGUUAACAAAACUGACAAAUUAGUUUACCUGUUUUUACUGAUGUAGAUAAUUUGUGAAUUUAAAGUUAUGUAUGAAAAUUUUAAUUUCAUGUAGAAGUUUUCUAUAUGUAUUACAGCAAUUAAAAAUUUAUAUUGAAUAGAUCACUGCGAGUAAAUAAAUGCUAGAACAUUGGCUAGCAUGCAUUAAAACUGCUGCAGAAAGUCAUGCCAUCCAACAACAGAACCAAUUACCACUUGCAAUGUGGUGUGAUCAUGUGCUAAUCAUUUGCUGACCAUUGUUUACUAGUGGUGACUCUUAGAUAUAAAUAUGUAGACUAUAGUUGUAGAUGUGUAAUAUUUAGUUAUGUGAAAUUACUACAGUUUUUCCCAACAUUUGGCCUAUCUGCCUAAAUUUGUUGAAAAUAACAGUGAAUUAAUAACAUGAAAAUGACCUGUUAAUUUAAUUAUAAGCAAAUAUAGGUUAAAAGUAUUUUCAAAUUAACAGGGCAUUAAUUUUUGCAUAUGACGUGUGGACCGGAAAUUUUGUUUGUUAAAUCGAAAGUCUUUUAAAUUGAAGUCUGCAAAGUCGAGGGUUUACUGUAUAAUCAUACAAUAUGUGAUCUUUUGUAACUGAUUUCUCUCACUGUAAUGAUUUCGAGGUUCAUCUAUAUUGUAUUAUGUAUCAGUACUUCAUUCCUUUUAUGGCUGAAUAAUAUUAUAUGGAUAUACCACAUUUUGUUUAUCUCUUCAUCAGUUGGUGGAUAUUUAGGUUAUUGCCACUUUUGGCUAUUACGAAUAAUGAAUGUUUUUAUGAAUGUUGGUAUAAAAGUAUUUUUUUAUUUUUAGAUUUAUUGGGUCAACACUGGUUAACACAGUUAUACAGGUUUCAGGUGCACAGUUCUACAUCAGGUAUUUGAUGGACAUAGGGCAUAUAAUGAGUGGAAAUACCGAGUCCUGUGGUAACUCCAUAUUUAACCUUUUUUAAAAAUUGAUUUUUAGAGAGAGGGAGGAAGAAAGAGAGAGAAACUGAUGAGAGAGAGAAACAUUGAUCGACUGCCAGUAUUUUGCAGAAUAUCCUUUAACUUGGAUUUGUCUAAUGGUCUCCUUAUAAUUGGAUCCAGGUUAAACAUUUUUGUCAGGAAUUCUUUAUAUAAAGUGUGUUUUCCUUAUUAUGUCAGUGGUAUAAUAAGGUACUCAAUACCAGUUUGUCCCAUUAUUGAUGAUUUGAAUUAGAUAAUUAAAAUGUGAGAUUUCUCCCUUGUAAAGAUACCCUUUCCCCUUUGUAAUUAACAAGUAAUCUGUGGGGUGAUAUUUGAGACUGGGAAUAUCCUAUUUUCAAUAGUUUUGCAUCCAGUGUUAGUGUUCAUUGAUGAUUCUUUGAAUAAUUUAUUUUCAUUUUGUUUGGAAUAUGUUCUUUGUUAUUGAUUUUAGAGAGACGGGAAGAGAGGGAGAGGGAGAGAGAAACAUCCAUUGGCUAUCUCCUGCAUGCCCCUAACCAGGGUUCGAACCUGCACCCAGGCCUGUGGCCUGACCGGAAAUUGAACUGGCGACCCCUUGAGUCAUUUCUAGAAGUGAGACUUCUAGAGAAUGUGCAUCCCCCAUUGUGAUAGCUAUUCCUCACCAAAGCGAUGGUGCUGAUGUAUGUUCCUGUCAGGCCAUGAGGGGAGUGCCUGCUCGCCCUCUUCUUUGCCAGUCUGGUUCCAGAAACUCAUUAGAACCAGCCUGUGCAGAAAGGGGGAUGUCCCAGAACCCAAGCGCAGUUGGGCCUCACAAAGAUUACCUUUGGGACAAGGUUUCCAAGGUCCCCACCCACUGUCGGCUACAUGGACAGCCCGUGCAGAGGCAGGCUGCAGUACCGUGACCUCUCCCAGGAAGGAUUCUGGCUUGGUGACUAUGUGACUAUCAAGAAUGAAACAGGAUGACCAGGUUUCUAGUUAGAGUUCAUGAAGCUCUCAGUGACUCGUAUAGCAAGAUGCAGAAACAAAGCUGUGGGACUCACUAAUUCUUCGAAGUGGAAUCUGGCAAAUGGUGCUUGGACAACUGGACAUUCACAUACAAAAAUUAACAAUAACAACUGUUGAUAAGAUGUGGAGAAGCCAAACCCCAACUGCUGGUGGGAAUGUAAAUGGUACAGACACUUUGGGAAACAGCCCGGCAGUUCCUCAAAACGUUAAACACAGUUACCAUUUGACCUUGCAAUUCCACUCCAAGGUACAUACCCGAGAGAAAUGAAAACAUGCUUACUCAAAAGCUUACACAUGCUUGUUUAUAGCAACA